CCUGCCUAUCUGAGGCCUUCCAAGGGUGAUUUUUGUUGAAGUUGAAUUUCACAGAUUCAUGUGGAUAGCUAUGUGGAUGUAUUUCUGUGUUGAAUCUCUCUGAUGUAAUUUUACCGUUAUUUAUCAUCCUAGGAAAUCAUUGCAUUUCAACAACAGCUAGUUUCCAAUCCAUUUUUCUGUUCAUCUUUGUGAUAUGAUCGCUGUUUAGAAGCACAAAAAUCAUCAUAGUUUCAACAUACAAGAAGAACACAGUGCACAGGAAACUAGUGCUUUUAGAACAGAAGACACUGCACAAUGUGAGGUACUGCUGGAGAAGAGUAUCCAAGUACUUUAAUAUCCAGUGAUGCAGAUGUGUUAUCUGCUUUGGUUUUUAAUGUAAUCAAGAUUUUUUUUUUCUUUAUAUUAAAUCACUCAUGGAGGGGAAAAAGAAACACCUUACAGGUUCUGUGACUCACUGCACCCAGGUUCUUCCGAAUUUCCAGUAUGCCUCGAGCUCUGUGUGUCUUUGGAUGGUACUCUUCGCCUAUGUUCCUAAUGAAAUGAUUACCUUCUGUAAAUAUCAAGUCUUGUUAAGUGAUCAGCCUCAAUACAAGAGCCCUCUGCAGCUCAAAUCGCACAGAAUAAAAUCUAAAACGGUUACUAUCAGGAGGUUUUCAUUAGAGGAGUGCAAACAAAAUUGUCAAAGUAUAAGAUUAUGUGAUUAUAAUCAAGAGGAAUUAGACAUGGAGAAAGGGGGAAAUGAUAAAAAAAAAAAAAGCAUCAGAACAUAAAGAACAUCCAUAGAAAGCAAAUGGUUCAAAUUUAUCUUGGGGAGGAAAGUUUAUAGUAACUGGAAAAUCCACAUCAUUUUUGACAUUGUCUGGUAUGAUAAGCUGGUAGUUGAAUAAUAGGCAAGGCAUCAACUACAAGGAUGUUAAUUUCUGUAUUAGAAUAUUCUUUUCCUGCAGAGGUCGUGAUUUACUUCAUUUCAUUUUGAAGGUUGUGAAUUUGUAAAGGGAAUCUGUGAUUGCUCUCUGAUUAAUAAGUAGAGGCUAUUUAAGUGUUAGUUUGAACGGCCCAUGUUUACUAUAACCUCACAGUUUGUAUACCAGUCAAAAUUA
rnacentral:lncRNA from 1 species